ensembl:lncRNA uncharacterized LOC114426194
GUGCUUUUGUCUUCAUUUUCCACACAAAGUGGGAUGUAAUGUCUGUCGCAGGAGCUAUGAUUUCAAGACUGGACUGUCUGAGAUCAGGAAACGACUAGUUUCAUCUGAAAGUGUGAGUUCUGCUUUUUGUUUGGAUAUAAGGAUAUAACUCAUACUGUGAUUACUUCGCGGUGACUGGUUGACACGCGCAGAGCGGUGCGGAUCUGUGUUGCUCGUUAUCGGUGCAAUGGAGGAUUUUUCCAGAUUUUUGUGCAUCACUAGGACAUUGACUUUCAUGUGUUGCGUCUUCUCAGUUUUCUCACUGUCAGAUGUGAACAUCAUCUCACAGGAGCUUGGCAGCACAGUGACCCUGCACUGUAACAACAGGUCGCUCGAUAAACUCAAUCAACUGAUGUGGAAAAGGAAUGGAGUUCGACUGUUCACUUACAGGCCAGAUGAGGAAAAAGUAGACCACAAUUUAGAAGUAAGACUGAAGGUGAAUAUGUCUACAUUGGAAAGCCAGUUGUAUGCCCUCAUUAUAGAGAAUGCCCAGGAUUCUCAUACAGGAAACUACACCUGCGAGAUGAGCACAAGGUCAGGAUUCUGGGAACAGAAGUGGAUGCUUAUAAUUACAGAGAAGGCUAGUAACUUUCAAAUACCUUUGACAGCUUUGGCAGCUGUUAUUCCCACUGUUUGUAUCCUGAUCUUUAUAAUUACUUGUAACAACGUCUGUAAACGGCGUGCAGCAAACGUCAUUCGGCCUCCCACUGCAGGAAAGGAGGAGACUAUUUACGAAAAUUGCCUGGAAAUUGCUGCUAAUCAGCAGAGACAUCUGGCUGGCGCACACUCACAAAGCUAG